rnacentral:rRNA from 1 species
UACGGAGGGUGCAAGCGUUAUCCGGAUUCACUGGGUUUAAAGGGUGUGUAGGCGGGCUAUUAAGUCAGUGGUGAAAUCUCCGAGCUCAACCCGGAAACUGCCAUUGAUACUAUUAGUCUUGAAUAUCGUUGAGGUAGGCGGAAUAUAUCAUGUAGCGGUGAAAUGCAUAGAUAUGAUAUAGAACACCGAUUGCGAAGGCAGCUUGCUAAACGAUUAUUGACGCUGAGGCACGAAAGCGUGGGGAUCAAACAGG